GAUGAACGCUGGCGGCGUGCCUAAUACAUGCAAGUCGAGCGAACAGACGAGGAGCUUGCUCCUCUGACGUUAGCGGCGGACGGGUGAGUAACACGUGGAUAACCUACCUAUAAGACUGGGAUAACUUCGGGAAACCGGAGCUAAUACCGGAUAAUAUAUUGAACCGCAUGGUUCAAUAGUGAAAGACGGUUUUGCUGUCACUUAUAGAUGGAUCCGCGCCGCAUUAGCUAGUUGGUAAGGUAACGGCUUACCAAGGCAACGAUGCGUAGCCGACCUGAGAGGGUGAUCGGCCACACUGGAUCUGAGACACGGUCCAGACGCCUACGGGAGGCAGCAGUAGGGAAUCUUCCGCAAUGGGCGAAAGCCUGACGGAGCAACGCCGCGUGAGUGAUGAAGGUCUUCGGAUCGUAAAACUCUGUUAUUAGGGAAGAACAAAUGUGUAAGUAACUAUGCACGUCUUGACGGUACCUAAUCAGAAAGCCACGGCUAACUACGUG
rnacentral:rRNA from 1 species